rnacentral:rRNA from 1 species
GGUGGUCAUUGCGUUAGGGAAACGCCCGGUCACAUUCCGAACCCGGAAGCUAAGCCUUUCAGCGCCGAUGGUACUGCAGGGGGGCCCUGUGGGAGAGUAGGUCGCCGCC